AAAAUCAAGUAUUUUUUCAGCAAGGGAUGCCCAAAUGAUCAAAGAGAUCUCAGCAAGGGGAUCCUUGAUGUCCCUAAUUAGUCAUUAUCAGAGAGGUAUUUGGGUCUACCUUCAGAUGUUGGCAAAUCAAAAAAUUGCACAUUCAAGUAUAUAAAAGAUAGACUUUGGGCAAAGGUGAAGUGA
rnacentral:rRNA from 1 species